GAUGAACGCUGGCGGCGUGCCUAAUACAUGCAAGUCGAGCGAACGGACGAGAAGCUUGCUUCUCUGAUGUUAGUGGCGGACGGGUGAGUAACACGUGGAUAACCUACCUAUAAGACUGGGAUAACUUCGGGAAACCGUAGCUAAUACCGGAUCAUAUUUUGAACCGCAUGGUUCAAAAGUGAAAGACGGUCUUGCUGUCACUUAUAGAUGGAUCCGCGCUGCAUUAGCUAGUUGGUAAGGUAACGGCUUACCAAGGCAACGAUGCAUAGCCGACCUGAGAGGGUGAUCGGCCACACUGGAACUGAGACACGGUCCAGACUCCUACGGGAGGCAGCAGUAGGGAAUCUUCCGCAAUGGGCGAAAGCCUGACGGAGCAACGCCGCGUGAGUGAUGAAGGUCUUCGGAUCGUAAAACUCUGUUAUUAGGGAAGAACAGAUGUGUAAGUAACUGUGCACAUCUUGACGGUACCUAAUCAGAAAGCCACGGCUAACUACGUG
rnacentral:rRNA from 1 species